UACGGAGGGUGCUAGCGUUGUUCGGAAUCACUGGGCGUAAAGGGCGUGUAGGCGGUCUGUUAAGUCUGAUGUGAAAUCCCCGAGCUCAACUCGGGAACUGCGUCCGAUACUGGUGGGCUUGAAUCCGGGAGAGGGAUGCGGAAUUCCAGGUGUAGCGGUGAAAUGCGUAGAUAUCUGGAGGAACACCGGUGGCGAAGGCGGCAUCCUGGACCGGCAUUGACGCUGAGGCGCGAAAGCUAGGGGAGCAAACGGG
rnacentral:rRNA from 1 species